GACAGAGGGGGCAAGCGUUGCUCGGAUUCAUUGGGCGUAAAGGGUGCGUAGGCGGCGCGGUAAGUCGGGUGUGAAAUCUCGGAGCUUAACUCCGAAACUGCAUUCGAUACUGCCGUGCUUGAGGACUGGAGAGGAGACUGGAAUUUACGGUGUAGCGGUGAAAUGCGUAGAUAUCGUAAGGAAGACCAGUGGCGAAGGCGGGUCUCUGGACAGUUCCUGACGCUGAGGCACGAAGGCCAGGGGAGCAAACGGG
rnacentral:rRNA from 1 species